rnacentral:lncRNA from 1 species
AAAAACCUAAGUGAUGUUUCUCAAGGCAUCAAGAGCCACCUUGAGAGAGCUGGUUGUGCUGGCACACACCUUUAUGCUCAGAACUCAGGAGGCAGAUGCAGCCAAGUAUCUUUGAAGUCAAGGACAACCUGGCCUAUAUAAUAGUGAGUUCAAGUCCCGCCAGGGCUACAAAAGUGAAACCUUGUCUCACAAACAAAACAUCAAACCUGGUGACCUGAACCUUGUGACCAAUAAACAUUUACUUACUAACUCUUUUGUGACAAAUUCCACAGGCAGCUGAGGACUCAGCCCAGGUGAGGCUUCCGCCUGAAAGAUGAGCUAAAGCCAGAGGGAAAUUCCAUCCAGGACCUCACAUGUGACUCGUUCCAAGGGCUCUGAAGACAGUCCCCAUAUUACGUGGGGUGAUGACUGAAAGCUGGAGGGAGCCACUGGAGGUGAAAUUCAAGAAUUAAGUGAAGAGUGAAGAGAGAAUUCUUGGAAGGAAUGCAGAGACCCAGGCCUGGGAGGGGAAGAGCUGCUUUUACACUGGGAUAGGGUUUGGAGUGGAUGAAGAAGGAGAUGCAGAGAAGCCGAAGGCCCUGCUUAGACUGCCAUGAAGAGAGGAUUUGCACCCAGAUGGUUCUGCCUAGACCUUCAACAAAGCUCGCUUGGGUUUGAAGAUGAAUGCCAAUGGAGACAUACGUGUUGAUUAUCGACUCUGUGGCAAAGCAUCGUGGUUUGAUAACAGUAAAAGUCGGUUCUUUCCGAAACUCACAGUCAUAAAGAGAUGGGUGUGGUCUGUCUGUCACCAAGGGUGUUGCUUUGCUGGGCUCCGAACAAGUCAGGCCCUGAUUAGACUCCAGUUAAGAAGCUUGUGUGUGUGUGUGUGUGUGUGUGUGUGAGUGUGUGUGUGUGUGUGUGAGCGCGCGCACAGAGGAUUGUCCUGUACACAUCUGUGUGGAUGGCAACUGGCUGUGUGGACCACCUUUGCCCAAAUGACUCCAGUGGCCUCUGGCAUCAGAAUCCCUGUCCCUGCUGGGAGCAGGGGCAACUCUGGAUGGUCUAUGCUGGCAUCCUGACUCCAGAAACUGAAAGGGAGACACCUGAAGCUUGGAAGUUUCCCUGGCCUGUGGUAAAGCAAUUCUUGAGGGAAAAUGGCAGAGGCCAAAAGGAAGCAAGACCACACUAUUGCCUUAACCAAACGGGAGAGGAGAGGAGUUUGACUCACUCCGUGUCGUUUGCAUCCAGAGCCACCAUCCUGAUCCCUGAAGUGUGGAAGCUUCAAAUGGUUUGCCAUCCAAGAAGAGCCAGGGGCUGACAAGAUGAUUCAGUGGAUUUGAGCAUUGGCCACCAACCCUGAUGACCUGGACUUUACCCUCCAGUUGUCCUCGGACCUCCACACAUGUCAUGACACACAUUCCCCAUCCUCCAAUACAUUAAUA